GCCUGGGUGGCUCAGUCGGUUGAGCGUCCGACUUCGACUCAGGUCAUGAUCUCAUGGUCUGUGGGUUCGAGCCCCACAUCGGGCU
rnacentral:tRNA from 1 species